rnacentral:rRNA from 1 species
UACAGAGGUCUCAAGCGUUGUUCGGAAUCACUGGGCGUAAAGGGUGCGUAGGUGGCGCGGUAAGUCGGGUGUGAAAUUUCGGAGCUUAACUCCGAAACUGCAUUCGAUACUGCCGUGCUUGAGGACUGGAGAGGAGACUGGAAUUUACGGUGUAGCAGUGAAAUGCGUAGAUAUCGUAAGGAAGACCAGUGGCGAAGGCGGGUCUCGUGGACAGUUCCUGACGCUGAGGCACGGAAGGCCAGGGGAGCAAACGGG